rnacentral:rRNA from 1 species
GACGAACGCUGGCGGCGUGCUUAACACAUGCAAGUCGAACGGAAAGGCCCUGCUUUUGUGGGGUGCUCGAGUGGCGAACGGGUGAGUAACACGUGAGUAACCUGCCCUUGACUUUGGGAUAACUUCAGGAAACUGGGGCUAAUACCGGAUAGGAGCUCCUGCUGCAUGGUGGGGGUUGGAAAGUUUCGGCGGUUGGGGAUGGACUCGCGGGUUAUCAGCUUGUUGGUGGGGUAGUGGCUUACCAAGGCUUUGACGGGUAGCCGGCCUGAGAGGGUGACCGGCCACAUUGGGACUGAGGUACGGACCAGACGCGUAUGGGAGGCAGCAGUGGGGAAUAUUGCACAGUGGGCGGAAGCGUGAUGCAGCAACGCCGCGUGCGGGAUGACGGCCUUCGGGUUGUGAACCGCUUUCGCCUGUGACGAAGCGUGAGUGACGGUAAUGGGUAAAGAAGCACCGGCUAACUACGUG